GAUGAACGCUGGCGGCGUGCCUAAUACAUGCAAGUCGAGCGAACAGACGAGGAGCUUGCUCCUCUGACGUUAGCGGCGGACGGGUGAGUAACACGUGGAUAACCUACCUAUAAGACUGGGAUAACUUCGGGAAACCGGAGCUAAUACCGGAUAAUAUAUUGAACCGCAUGGUUCAAUAGUGAAAGACGGUUUUGCUGUCACUUAUAGAUGGAUCCGCGCCGCAUUAGCUAGUUGGUAAGGUAACGGCUUACCAAGGCAACGAUGCGUAGCCGACCUGAGAGGGUGAUCGGCCACACUGGAACUGAGACACGGUCCAGACUCCUACGGGAGGCAGCAGUAGGGAAUCUUCCGCAAUGGGCGAAAGCCUGACGGAGCAACGCCGCGUGAGUGAUGAAGGUCUUCGGAUCGUAAACUCUGUUAUUAGGGAAGAACAAAUGUGUAAGUAACUAUGCACGUCUUGACGGUACCUAAGCAGAAAGCCACGGCUAACUACGU
rnacentral:rRNA from 1 species